rnacentral:rRNA from 1 species
AUGGUAGGAUAGAGGCCUACCAUGGUGGUAACGGGUAACGGGGUGUUAGGGCACGACACCGGAGAGGGAGCCUGAGAAACGGCUACCACAUCCAAGGAUGGCAGCAGGCGCGCAAAUUACCCAAUCCCGAUACGGGGAGGUAGUGACAAUAAAUAACAAUACGGGGUUCUUUAGGAUCUCGUAAUUGGAAUGAGUACAAUUUAAAUCUCUUAACGAGGAACAAUUGGAGGGCAAGUCUGGUGCCAGCAGCCGCGGUAAUUCCAGCUCCAAUAGCGUAUAUUAAAGUUGUUGCAGUUAAAAAGCUCGUAGUUGAAUUUCGGGGUCAGUAGGUCGGUCGUGCCACUGGUAUGAACUGGUUUUACUGAUUCCUCCCUCUUGAAGAACUGUAAUGCCAUUAAUUUGGUGUUGCAGGGAAUCAGGACUGUUACUUUGAAAAAAUUAGAGUGUUUAAAGCAGGCUUUAGCUUGAAUACAUUAGCAUGGAAUAAUGAAAUAGGACGUUUGAUCCUAUUUUGUUGGUUUCUAGGAUUGACGUAAUGAUUAAUAGGGAUAGUUGGGGGCAUUAGUAUUCAAUUGUCAGAGGUGAAAUUCUUGGAUUUAUUGAAGACUAACUACUGCGAAAGCAUUUGCCAAGGAUGUUUUCAUUAAUCAAGAACGAAAGUUAGGGGAUCGAAGACGAUCAGAUACCGUCGUAGUCUUAACCAUAAACUAUGCCGACUAGGGAUCGGAUGAUGUUAAUUUUUUAAUGACUCAUUCGGCGCCUUACGGGAAACCAAAGUGUUUGGG